GCUUGGCUGGCUCAGUCAGUAGAGCAUGUGACUCUUGAUUUUGGGGUCAUGAGUUCAAGCCUCAUGUUGGGCA
rnacentral:tRNA from 1 species